AGUGAACGCUGGCGGUAGGCCUAACACAUGCAGGUCGAACGGCAGCACAGUAAGAGCUUGCUCUUACGGUUGGCGAGUGGCGGAUGGGUGAGGAAUACAUCGGAAUCUACUUUUUCGUGGGGGAUAACGUAGGGAAACUUACGCUAAUACCGCAUACGACCUACGGGUGAAAGCAGGGGAUCUUCGGACCUUGCGCGAUUGAAUGAGCCGAUGUCGGAUUAGCUAGUUGGCGGGGUAAAGGCCCACCAAGGCGACGAUCCGUAGCUGGUCUGAGAGGAUGAUCAGCCACACUGGAACUGAGACACGGUCCAGACUCCUACGGGAGGCAGCAGUGGGGAAUAUUGGACAAUGGGCGCAAGCCUGAUCCAGCCAUACCGCGUGGGUGAAGAAGGCCUUCGGGUUGUAAAGCCCUUUUGUUGGGAAAGAAAAGCAGCAGGUUAAUACCCCGCUGUUCUGACGGUACCCAAAGAAUAAGCACCGGCUAACUUCGUG
rnacentral:rRNA from 1 species